GAGGAUUAGCUCAGUGGGAGAGCGUCUGCCUUACAAGCAGAAAGUCGGGGGUUCAAAUCCCUCAUCCUCUA
rnacentral:tRNA from 2 species